rnacentral:rRNA from 1 species
AGGGUGUAAACGCUGCAGACUUGGUGUUGGAAAUCCUUCGAGGGUAUUCAGUGCCGGAGAGAAGUUGUUAAGUCUGCUACUUGGGGAGUACGUCCGCAAGGAUGAAACUUAAGGAAUUGGCGGGGGAGCACCGCAACGGGAGGAGCGUGCGGUUUAAUUGGAUUCAACACCGUAAACUCACCAGGGAAGACUGUUACAUGAAGGCCGAGAUGAAGACUCUGCUAGAUUUUCAGAGAGGUGGUGCAUGGCGUCAGUGACU